rnacentral:rRNA from 1 species
GUCUUUUAGAUUAUAAUUUAAAGUCUAACCUGCCCACUGAAUUUUUUGAAGGGCCGCGGUAUUUUGACUGUGCAAAGGUAGCAUAAUCAUUAGUCUUUUAAUUGGAGGCUUGUAUGAAUGGUUGGAUGAAACAUUAACUGUCUCGGUUUAAUAAAAAUAGAAUUUAAUUUUUAAGUUAAAAAGCUUAAAUUUAAUUAGAGGACGAGAAGACCCUAUAGAUCUUUAUAAUAAAUUAUUUAUUAUUAAUUUAGAAUAAUAAUUUAUAUUAAUUAAUUUAUUAUUUUAUUGGGGUGAUAGAUAAAUUUAGUAAACUUUAUUUUAUAAAAACAUUUAUUUAUGAAUUUUUGAUCCAUUUUUAGUGAUUAGAAGAUUAAGUUACCUUAGGGAUAACAGCGUAAUUUUUUUAGAGAGUUCUAAUCGAUAAAAAAGUUUGCGACCUCGAUGUUGAAUUAAAGGUUAAUUUUAGGUGUAGAAGUUUAAAGUUUUGGUCUGUUCGACCAUUAAAUC